UCUAACUAUCUUCUAUUGGUAUCAGUGCCAGGUUGUAAUGGAUUGUUCAUGACCAUUUGCUCCUAGGGUAGUUAUACGACUCUAUGACGAAAAGCAUCGCCACGGAGGUCAUGGGCUGUGACUCUUCUGCAGGCCUCUAGCGUGCUUUGGAUGCUCUUUUUGGUGUGCACUCGAAAUCGAAAAUGGACGAAUAUCAUAUGAGGAUACAAACCUCAUGCAAAGGAUCCAUCUCUAUACCUGACUUUCUCAAGCAAAAAUGUCAGUGGGCUGAUGUUCUUACUCUUAUAGGUGACCCGUACUCCGAAUCUCAGCUUAUAGCUAACGUUCUUUCACGUUUAGAUGCCAAUUAUUUGACUAUUAUUGUUCUUGUGGAAGCUUAGCAGUCUACUACCUGGCAGGAUUUCCAGGAUCUUUUAAUGAGCUACGACAGUAAAAUGAAAAGGCUAAACGCCUUGUUUGGUUCCAGCAAGCUUCUUGGUGGGCUUGGUUCUCCUCAAGCUAAUCUUGCCAACAAGAACACUCCUUACAAUUCUCACAAAGGUGCUGCAUCGUCAUAUCCCCAUGGUUCUGGAUCUAGAGGAGGACGUGGUAAUGGGAACAAUCGUGGCAAUAGAGGUCGUUCAAAGGGUCGUGGUUGUCGCUCAAAUGGGCCCAAACCAGCUUGCCAAGUAUGUGGCAAGUAUGGUCAUUCUGCUGCUUUUUGCUACAACCGGUAUGAUGAGUCAUACAUGUGACCCAUUCAUGGUGGGAGUAACAACUCGAACAAUGGUUUAGCAGGUGCCUCAGCCUUUGUCAUCACUCCGGAUACUGCAGAUCUUGAUUCGUGGUGUGCUAAUAUAGGGACCAACAACCAUGUCACUGGUGAUGUCCAUAGCAUGAAUCAAAAGGCUGAGUAUAAUGGCAACAAAGAAGGAGGUUCUUCGAGGGAUGCUUAAGGAUGGUCUCCCCCAACUUGAAUCACCACAUCUCAGUCUACCUUCUUCAAAUCAUUCCAUUCCAGCUCCAAGAAAAGAGUCCUGUUAUUUUACUGGUUUUUAUUGUCUUUCUAGUCUUCUGUCCAAGAGUCAUGUAACUCAGUCACUGACUGAGAAGUCCUUAAAUUCUAUAAAAGAUAGGUGGCACCAACGAUUGGACCACCCAUCCACUCGUGUCUCGAGCCAACUUAAUGUAAGAAUUUCAAAAAAUGAAGAAAACACUUUCUUUGAUGCC